GAUUAAGUUAUUAAGGGCGCACGGUGGAUGCCUUGGCACUAGAAGCCGAUGAAGGACGUUACUAACGACGAUAUGCUUUGGGGAGCUGUAAGUAAGCUUUGAUCCAGAGAUUUCCGAAUGGGGAAACCCAACAUGAGUUAUGUCAUGUUAUCGAUAUGUGAAUACAUAGCAUAUCAGAAGGCACACCCGGAGAACUGAAACAUCUUAGUACCCGGAGGAAGAGAAAGAAAAUUCGAUUCCCUUAGUAGCGGCGAGCGAAACGGGAAGAGCCCAAACCAACAAGCUUGCUUGUUGGGGUUGUAGGACACUCUAUACGGAGUUACAAAGGACGACAUUAGACGAAUCAUCUGGAAAGAUGAAUCAAAGAAGGUAAUAAUCCUGUAGUCGAAAAUGUUGUCUCUCUUGAGUGGAUCCUGAGUACGACGGAGCACGUGAAAUUCCGUCGGAAUCUGGGAGGACCAUCUCCUAAGGCUAAAUACUCUCUAGUGACCGAUAGUGAACCAGUACCGUGAGGGAAAGGUGAAAAGCACCCCGGAAGGGGAGUGAAAUAGAACCUGAAACCGUGUGCUUACAAGUAGUCAGAGCCCGUUAAUGGGUGAUGGCGUGCCUUUUGUAGAAUGAACCGGCGAGUUACGAUUUGAUGCAAGGUUAAGCAGUAAAUGUGGAGCCGUAGCGAAAGCGAGUCUGAAUAGGGCGUUUAGUAUUUGGUCGUAGACCCGAAACCAGGUGAUCUACCCUUGGUCAGGUUGAAGUUCAGGUAACACUGAAUGGAGGACCGAACCGACUUACGUUGAAAAGUGAGCGGAUGAACUGAGGGUAGCGGAGAAAUUCCAAUCGAACCUGGAGAUAGCUGGUUCUCUCCGAAAUAGCUUUAGGGCUAGCCUCAAGUGAUGAUUAUUGGAGGUAGAGCACUGUUUGGACGAGGGGCCCCUCUCGGGUUACCGAAUUCAGACAAACUCCGAAUGCCAAUUAAUUUAACUUGGGAGUCAGAACAUGGGUGAUAAGGUCCGUGUUCGAAAGGGAAACAGCCCAGACCACCAGCUAAGGUCCCAAAAUAUAUGUUAAGUGGAAAAGGAUGUGGCGUUGCCCAGACAACUAGGAUGUUGGCUUAGAAGCAGCCAUCAUUUAAAGAGUGCGUAAUAGCUCACUAGUCGAGUGACACUGCGCCGAAAAUGUACCGGGGCUAAACAUAUUACCGAAGCUGUGGAUUGUCCUUUGGACAAUGGUAGGAGAGCGUUCUAAGGGCGUUGAAGCAUGAUCGUAAGGACAUGUGGAGCGCUUAGAAGUGAGAAUGCCGGUGUGAGUAGCGAAAGACGGGUGAGAAUCCCGUCCACCGAUUGACUAAGGUUUCCAGAGGAAGGCUCGUCCGCUCUGGGUUAGUCGGGUCCUAAGCUGAGGCCGACAGGCGUAGGCGAUGGAUAACAGGUUGAUAUUCCUGUACCACCUAUAAUCGUUUUAAUCGAUGAGGGGACGCAGUAGGAUAGGCGAAGCGUGCGAUUGGAUUGCACGUCUAAGCAGUAAGGCUGAGUAUUAGGCAAAUCCGGUACUCAUUAAGGCUGAGCUGUGAUGGGGAGAAGACAUUGUGUCUUCGAGUCGUUGAUUUCACACUGCCGAGAAAAGCCUCUAGAUAGAAAAUAGGUGCCCGUACCGCAAACCGACACAGGUAGUCAAGAUGAGAAUUCUAAGGUGAGCGAGCGAACUCUCGUUAAGGAACUCGGCAAAAUGACCCCGUAACUUCGGGAGAAGGGGUGCUCUUUAGGGUUAACGCCCAGAAGAGCCGCAGUGAAUAGGCCCAAGCGACUGUUUAUCAAAAACACAGGUCUCUGCUAAACCGUAAGGUGAUGUAUAGGGGCUGACGCCUGCCCGGUGCUGGAAGGUUAAGAGGAGUGGUUAGCUUCUGCGAAGCUACGAAUCGAAGCCCCAGUAAACGGCGGCCGUAACUAUAACGGUCCUAAGGUAGCGAAAUUCCUUGUCGGGUAAGUUCCGACCCGCACGAAAGGCGUAACGAUUUGGGCACUGUCUCAACGAGAGACUCGGUGAAAUCAUAGUACCUGUGAAGAUGCAGGUUACCCGCGACAGGACGGAAAGACCCCGUGGAGCUUUACUGUAGCCUGAUAUUGAAAUUCGGCACAGCUUGUACAGGAUAGGUAGGAGCCUUUGAAACGUGAGCGCUAGCUUACGUGGAGGCGCUGGUGGGAUACUACCCUAGCUGUGUUGGCUUUCUAACCCGCACCACUUAUCGUGGUGGGAGACAGUGUCAGGCGGGCAGUUUGACUGGGGCGGUCGCCUCCUAAAAGGUAACGGAGGCGCUCAAAGGUUCCCUCAGAAUGGUUGGAAAUCAUUCAUAGAGUGUAAAGGCAUAAGGGAGCUUGACUGCGAGACCUACAAGUCGAGCAGGGUCGAAAGACGGACUUAGUGAUCCGGUGGUUCCGCAUGGAAGGGCCAUCGCUCAACGGAUAAAAGCUACCCCGGGGAUAACAGGCUUAUCUCCCCCAAGAGUUCACAUCGACGGGGAGGUUUGGCACCUCGAUGUCGGCUCAUCGCAUCCUGGGGCUGUAGUCGGUCCCAAGGGUUGGGCUGUUCGCCCAUUAAAGCGGUACGCGAGCUGGGUUCAGAACGUCGUGAGACAGUUCGGUCCCUAUCCGUCGUGGGCGUAGGAAAUUUGAGAGGAGCUGUCCUUAGUACGAGAGGACCGGGAUGGACAUACCUCUGGUGUACCAGUUGUCGUGCCAACGGCAUAGCUGGGUAGCUAUGUGUGGACGGGAUAAGUGCUGAAAGCAUCUAAGCAUGAAGCCCCCCUCAAGAUGAGAUUUCCCAACUUCGGUUAUAAGAUCCCUCAAAGAUGAUGAGGUUAAUAGGUUCGAGGUGGAAGCAUGGUGACAUGUGGAGCUGACGAAUACUAAUCGAUCGAAGACUUAAUCAA
rnacentral:rRNA from 1 species